AUCAGGCCUAACACAUGCAAGUCGAACGCCCUCUUCGGAGGGAGUGGCAGACGGGUGAGUAACGCGUGGGAACCUACCUAGUAGUACGGAAUAACUCAGGGAAACUUGUGCUAAUACCGUAUACGCCCUUUGGGGGAAAGAUUUAUCGCUAUUAGAUGGGCCCGCGUUGGAUUAGUUUGUUGGUGAGGUAACGGCUCACCAAGGCUACGAUCCAUAGCUGGUCUGAGAGGAUGAUCAGCCACACUGGGACUGAGACACGGCCCAGACUCCUACGGGAGGCAGCAGUGGGGAAUAUUGGACAAUGGGGGAAACCCUGAUCCAGCCAUGCCGCGUGAGUGAAGAAGGCCUUAGGGUUGUAAAGCUCUUUCGCUAGGGAAGAUAAUGACGGUACCUAGUAAAGAAGCCCCGGCUAACUUCGUGCCAGCAGCCGCGGUAAUACGAAGGGGGCUAGCGUUGUUCGGAAUUACUGGGCGUAAAGCGCACGUAGGCGGAUUGUUAAGUUAGAGGUGAAAUCCCGGGGCUCAACCCCGGAACUGCCUUUGAUACUGGCAGUCUAGAGACUGGAAGAGGUGAGUGGAAUUCCGAGUGUAGAGGUGAAAUUCGUAGAUAUUCGGAGGAACACCAGAGGCGAAGGCGGCUCACUGGUCCAG
rnacentral:rRNA from 1 species